UACAGAGGUCUCAAGCGUUGUUCGGAUUCAUUGGGCGUAAGGGGUGCGUAGGUGGCGCGGUAAGUCGGGUGUGAAAUUUCGGAGCUUAACUCCGAAACUGCAUUCGAUACUGCCGUGCUUGAGGACUGGAGAGGAGACUGGAAUUUACGGUGUAGCAGUGAAAUGCGUAGAUAUCGUAAGGAAGACCAGUGGCGAAGGCGGGUCUCUGGACAGUUCCUGACACUGAGGCACGAAGGCCAGGGGGAGCAAAACGGG
rnacentral:rRNA from 1 species